UCAGUUCAGUGAGCCUCUCAGACACUUUCUGAUCUUCAUCUCAGACUCUUUCAGACUCUUUCAUUCACACAAACUCAAGAACAACUCAAAGGAUGAGAACGGAGGUUUUCCUCGUGCUCCUCAUGACUCUGGUGUUCACUGAUGGACUGAAUAAUGUCACGUUCAGCCGAGAGAAACGGGCUCUUUUCUCUAACACGGCAUAUCCUUGCCAGAGAUCUCAGAAUAACAAUGCAUAUUAUACUUUUAAUCGCCGACAUAUUCUCUCAGAGGAUUUUGACACAAACAGUGGAUUGGCUUGGGCAGAUUAUCUCACUAGACAGGGUCUUUGUGGCAGAACACGUCUUCAGUCCUUCCUCCCUGGACGCUACAGCAAUAGCAUUAAGAGAAUCUGCAACGGACAAGGCGUCAGAGACACGGGAAACUUGUGCAUCAGUAGGAGGACAUUCACAGUGUACAUUGUUGAAAGCUUUUUGAGAAAUGGACGAUGUGAAGUUACACCUAAUAACAACAGAUAUUAUGUUGUUGUUGCUUGUGAGGCCAUUGAUAAUGAAUGUGUGCCUGUUCACUAUGAGAAACAAACUAGGUACCGACCGUCCAGUUACGGUCAGAUCUGCAGACCAUAAGCAGAGGAUGUACUAAGAAUACAUGUUUAACCAUUUAUUAAAACGUUGCUAUGCCACAUGCAUGUUUAGACUGGAUAUAAUUCCAGAAGCUUCUCAAUAAAAGCUUUCUUAGCAGAGCACAGUUUGGUUUUAUAAAACAAACUGAUCAAAUGUGUAACUCAAAUGCUAUGUAAGUUGCUUUAAAUAAAAGCAUCUGCCAAAGCCAUUAA